rnacentral:rRNA from 1 species
CAUGGUUGAUCCUGCCAGCAUAUGCUUGUCUGAAAGAUUAAGCCAUGCACGUGCAAGUUCACAUGGCCGGUACAGUGAAACUGCAAAUGACUAAUUAAAUCAGUUAUGGUUCCUUAGAUCGCUCCAUCUGUUACUUGGAUAACUGUUGUCAUUCUAGAGCUAAUACAUGCCGAUGAGCACGGACCUCCCGGAUGCGUGCAUUUAUCACACCAAGACAAAUCUGGGGCCGAUUGCACACCUCCGUGACGGCAACGAUGCAUUCAGAUAUCUGCCCUAUCAACUUUCGAUGGUACUUUCUGUGCCUACCAUGGUGACCACAGGUAUUGGUGAAUCAGGGUUCGAUUCCGGAGGGGGAGCCUGAGAAAUGGCUACCACAUCUAAGGAAGGCAGCAGGCGCACAAAAUAACAAUACAGGACUCUUUCGAGGCACUGUAAUUGGAAUGUGUACACUUUAAACUCUUUAACGAGUACCAUUGGAGGGCAAGUCUGGUGUCAGCAGCCGCAGUAAUUUCCACUCCAAUAGCAUAUAUUAAAGUUGCUGCAAUUAAAAAGCUUGUAGUUGUUUCUUGUGAUCGAGCUGGCGGUCUGCUGCGAGUCGAGCUACCGCCUGUUCAAGGCCCUGCCUCUCAGCGCCUCCUUGAUGCUCUUGACUAUGUGUCCGGGGGGUCCGAAGCGUUUACUUGAAAAAAUGAGUGUUCAAAGCAGGCCGAUCGCCUACAUUCUUCAGCUAGGAAUAAUGGAAUAGAACUCUGGUUCUAUUUUGUUGGUUUUCGGAACUGGGGCCAUGAUUAAGAGGGCCUGGGGCAUUCGCAUUGUGCCGCUACAGGUGAAAUUCUUGGACCGGUGCAAGAUGAGCCAAAGCAAAAGCAUUACCCAAGAAUGGUUUAAUUAAUCAAGAAUGAAAGUCUGAGGUUCGAAGACGAUCCGAUACCGUUCCGACCAUAACUGGCAGAUUUAUUUCCAUGACCUGCCGAGCAGCUUCCGGGAAACAGAAGUCUUUGGGUUCCGGGGGUAGUAUGGUUGCAAAGCUGAAACUUAAAGGAAUCGACACAGGCACCACCAGGAGUGGAGCCUGCGCCUUAAUUUGACUCAACACCAGAAACCUCACCCGGUCCAGUUAUAGAAAGGAUUGACAGAGUGAUUGCUCUUUCUCGGUUCUGUGGGUGGUGGUGUAUGGCCGUUCUUAGUUGGUGGAGUGAUUUGUCUGGUUAAUUCCAAUAACUAACGAGACUCCUCCAUGCCAACUAUUUACGUGACCCCUCCCCCCAACAGUCGGUGUUAAACUUCUUAGAGGGACAAGUAAUAUUCAGCCACAUGAGAUCAAGCAAUAACAGGUUUGGGAUGCCCUUAGAUGUCCGGGCUGCACGUGCGCUACGCUGAUCGGAUCAGCGUGUGUCUACACUUCACCGACAGGUGUGGCUAACCCGCUGAACAUUGUUUUUGCUAGGGAUUGCAAUUAUUUCCCAUGAACGAGGAAUUACCAGUAUGUGCGGGUCAUAAGCUUGCAGUGAUUAAGUCCCUGCCCUUUGUACACAGCGACCAUUGCUACUACCAAUUGGAUGGUUUAGUGAGGUCCUCGGAAUGGCCCCACAUGGGUCGGCAACAGCCCUGUUGGAGCGGCGAGAAGACUAUCAAACUUGACUAUCUAGAGGAAGUAAAAGUCAUAUGGGUAUGUCACCCCACCGGAGAGAU